AUGGCCUCUCCUCCUCACCCCAUCAUGACUCCACCUCACUUGUACGCACAAAUAGCUAUCCCAUUGGGAAAAAAUGACCGUAGGCCGAUGGAGAUGGCUACGAUCUACCGUUUCUGUGCUUUGGAUUCGAAAAUAGGUGGAGAAACGAAGAGAUCAGCGAGGGGGGCGAUGUACAGAGAGGAACGAGAGAGACAAAGGAAGAACAGCGAGAGGAGAAAGAAGAUGCCGCUCGGGCCUUAUCCGCUACUCUUCGGCCACUGCAGAUGGAGCUGCAUCACUAUAAAAUCAACUCCGAUACCGCUCUCAUCGACCAUUGCCGAUGCAAUGCUCCUACUGCUGUGCAUCGUGGUCCUCCCUGCCGUGCUCCUCCUCGUGCUAUCCUCCAAGCAGCACGGGGAAUGCUACGUCGGCGGCCGGCCGCUCCCUCCCGGGCCACCAUGGCCACGGCUCCCACUUCUUGGGAACCUCCUGUAUCGCUGCCCUACAACCGCCUCCCUCGUCGUCACCCUCUGGACGGGCGGCAAGCCGGCCAUCUUCAUCGCCGGCCGUGACGCCGCGCACCGCACCCUCGCCCGCGAUGGUGCCACCUUCGCGCACCGUCCGCCGUCGUGGUCCUUCGGGUUUAACGCCCACGGCGUCAACAGCUCCCAGUACGGCGGCCGCUGGAGCCUCCUCCGGCGCAACAUCAGCUCGCACCUUGCAGGGGCGCCUCUCGCUGGCGCGCUACAAUAUUCCCUCGGUAAGCUUGUUUCGAGUCUCGACUGUGUGGCCGCGGCGGCCAAGAACCACGUCGUUGUGCCAUCAGAAAUGCUCCGACACGCCGUGGUCUCCUUCUUCGCCUCGCUUUGCUUCGGCGAGGGAGUGGAGGAGGACGUGCUCAGGCAGCUACGAGGAGUCCACGCCGAGAUCCUCUCCCUGGUCGUUGAGCUCGGCGCGUUCCACCUAAUGCCAGCGCUCCUCGAGGUCGCGUGCUACUUCCCUAGGUGCCGGAAGCUAUCCAACGCCCAGAAGAGGCACCGUGCUACUGUCACGACUCUCAUCAGUGCUCGCCAACAACGAGACAGUGAUGGGGUCGGCUCAGGGCGGCGCCGGUGCUACGUCGACACGCUCCUGGAGCUAAGGCUCGGAGACGAGGAGAUGGUGAGCCUGUGCUGGGAGUUCAUGAACGCUGCCGCCAAGACCACUUCCACGGCGCUCGAGUGGAUCAUGGCACGUCUUGUGCUCCACCAGGUGCAGGUGAGAGAGAGUGUGUGUCAGCAGAGUGAGCGCCCAUCUGAGAAAAAGCGUGAGGCAUGCAUGAUAUACAACGGAAGUUACAGAAGGACAUCGCUAGGGGAGGGGAAGUCGAUGGGAACUGCACGGCGGAUGGUGAGCGGCGGAGCCCGUUCCUGGACGCCGGGUGCUCGAAGCGCUGCUCGUCGCCACCCCCCGGCGCACUACCUGCUGGCGCACACGACAGACAAGAACGUCUACCUCGACGGCUACGUGAUACCCAAGGGCUCUGUCGUCAACUACGGCGUGGCUGAUAUCGGACGCGACGCGACGUCGUGGACGAACCCCGUCGAGUUCUUGCCUGAGCGCUUCUUGGAGGGCGGAGAAGGAUACGGCGUUUCUGUUACCGCCGGCAGUGGGUGCGGCGAGGAGUCGAUGAAGAUGAUGCCUUUCGGCAGCGGGCGGAGGGCGUGCCCUGGCGCCACUGUCGCUCUGACGGUGCUCAAGUCCUUCGUCGAAAAGCUGGUCACGAGGUUCGAGUGGACACCGGUUGGGGCGGUGGACAUGGAAGAGAAACCGGGGCUUGUCACCGAGAUGAGGACGCCGUUACGCACUUGUUUGGUCGUGAGACCGCAUGUACAGCCCACAAACUGA
rnacentral:rRNA from 1 species